rnacentral:lncRNA from 1 species
UGGAAAUAACCAGUUCUAAAAGUGAUUUAAAAAUAUGAUUUUAAGCUUUUCACAGGUAUGUCUGUCAGAAUAAAAAUUUCAAUGAAGUCAUAUUCUGAGCAAAUAAAAAUGUUCUUCUUUUUUUUUUAUAUAACUAUAAACAAUUGAGGAUAAUAGACGUAUAUCAGUGAUAAGUAAAAUUAUUUUUCUUAAUCAGUUCCAGACCUAGAAUUUUAUAAUCUAUUUACCUUUUCCUUUUCUUUUUUCACUGGAUUAUACAUUUUCAAAAUAGAAAUUAUUAGAACAGUUUGACAGUUUAUCAAGUAGACAUUUAUUCUUAGUAUGCUUACUAUAAUUGCCUGUAUUUUGUAGAUUAACAUGAAUUCUACUUAAAAUACAGAAUAUACAUCUUCAGAUUUUGUUUUUUAAAUGAUAUGUAUUGUCAUAAAAUAAUUAAUUUCAUUGUAUUGCCAAUAAUUUAUUAUAUUAUCCCAUACUAAAAUUCUUAAUGUUAGAAAAUAUUGUUAUUAAUAUUCAGUUUUUUCGAGAAGUUUCAUAAUUUUACUGUAGAAAUGUUUAAGAAAGUGGCUUUGACGAAACAUGUGAUCAUAAUCCUCUGUGCUGUUGCAAUAACGACAAUUUGAAAUGUUGCAGAUCUUCCACUUUUUCAAUAAAACUCUUACAAGGCAAAAUAAAGUGUAGCAAUUUCCAACUUAUUUUCUGUUAAAUAAUGAUGAACAAAUUUUAACAUAUAAUAAACUCAUCAUGGAUAUCAGGGCUAAAUUUAGUAUAUACGCCAGACGCGCGUUUCGUCUACAAAGACUCAUCAGUGACGCUCGAAUCCAAAAAAGUUAAAAAUAACGUAAUAAAUAAAUAAAAUACGAAGUUGAAGAGCAUUUAGAACCAAAAUUCCUAAACAUUUUGCCAAAUACAGCUAAGGUGAUCUAUAACAUGAAACACUCUUAUUGUAUUCAAUGUUAUCGUGAUUUGUAUGGUCAUAUACUUAUAUAUGGUUAUUGUUUUCCUUAAAACUGCGUCCGAAAAAUUAUGAGUUUGAUCACAUUCGUAUGAAACCUUAGACCCAAUAAAAGGUAUUUGAUGUUUCCCCCAAACUAUAAAUAACAGCAAAGACUUAUGCAUGUAACCUUUUAAAGUUCCCGUCCUUCAUAUGCAAGUAAUAUUUGAUGUUUGAUAUUGAAUCAAACAUACUUUUAACACAAACACAUCUUUUAUCAACAAACGACUCACCAUUGACGCUUAAAAUAAAAAAAAUAAAAUUAACAGGCGGAUAUCAUAUGGAAUUCAAUAUAUAUAAAAAUACCAUUAGCUCUUUAUUUUAGAAGACAUACACCGUCUAAGAACGGUGUUUGGAUUGCUUAUAUCUGUUUUUAUCAGAUGAUUGUACUAAAUGUAGAUAUGAAAUUUGAAUCAUAUUGUCAUGACAGUACUAUUUUAUUGUGAUAAAUUGUACUUAUACUUUUAAUUUAACAAAGUAAAAAUAUAUUCCCAGUGAAACAGAAUAGUGCUAUAUCUAUCUAUGUCUUUUAAUAGGAUCAAUGCAGAUUAAACUACGGACAGCCCUAGACAAUUUGACUUUGAAUUUAACUAUUUAUAUUGGUUCACGACCAAAGGAGAGAAAUAAUCAUAUGACAAGAUUCACAUGGAAGUCGUCCGAUGCCUGCGAUCCACGAAACAUGGACAUUGAACUUGCCCAGUAUCAUAAUGAAAAAAAUUGGGAAACCUGAAACACACGAAUG